rnacentral:rRNA from 1 species
AGUCGAACGAAGCACUUUAUUCAGAUUCUUUCGGGAUGAUGAAUUUAGUGACUUAGUGGCGGACGGGUGAGUAACGCGUGGGUAACCUGCCUUACACAGGGGGAUAACAGUUAGAAAUGACUGCUAAUACCGCAUAAAACAGCAGCACCGCAUGGUGCAACUGUCAAAGAUUUAUCGGUGUAAGAUGGACCCGCGUCUGAUUAGCCAGUUGGUGGGGUAACGGCCUACCAAAGCGACGAUCAGUAGCCGACCUGAGAGGGUGACCGGCCACAUUGGGACUGAGACACGGCCCAAACUCCUACGGGAGGCAGCAGUGGGGAAUAUUGGACAAUGGGCGAAAGCCUGAUCCAGCGACGCCGCGUGAGCGAUGAAGUAUUUCGGUAUGUAAAGCUCUAUCAGCAGGGAAGAAAAUGACGGUACCUGACUAAGAAGCCCCGGCUAACUACGUGCCAGCAGCCGCGGUAAUACGUAGGGGGCAAGCGUUAUCCGGAUUUACUGGGUGUAAAGGGAGCGUAGACGGAAGUGCAAGUCAGAAGUGAAAGCCCGGGGCUUAACCCCGGGACUGCUUUUGAAACUGUGCAUCUAGAGUGCAGGAGAGGUAAGC